UGAAGGAUACACUGGCCCACAGCACCA
rnacentral:piRNA from 1 species